rnacentral:rRNA from 1 species
AUGCCGCGUGUGUGAAGAAGGCCUUCGGGUUGUAAAGCACUUUCAGCGAGGAGGAAGGCAUUAAGGUUAAUAACCUUGGUGAUUGACGUUACUCGCAGAAGAAGCACCGGCUAACUCCGUGCCAGCAGCCGCGGUAAUACGGAGGGUGCAAGCGUUAAUCGGAAUUACUGGGCGUAAAGCGCACGCAGGCGGUUUGUUAAGUCGGAUGUGAAAUCCCCGGGCUCAACCUGGGAACUGCUUUCGAAACUGGCAAGCUUGAGUCUUGUAGAGGGGGGUAGAAUUCCAGGUGUAGCGGUGAAAUGCGUAGAGAUCUGGAGGAAUACCGGUGGCGAAGGCGGCCCCCUGGACAAAGACUGACGCUCAGGUGCGAAAGCGUGGGGAGCAAACAGGCUUAGAUACCCUGGUAGUCCACGCCGUAAACGAUGUCGACUUGGAGGUUGUGCCCUUGAGGCGUGGCUUCCGGAGCUAACGCGUUAAGUCGACCGCCUGGGGAGUACGGCCGCAAGGUUAAAACUCAAAUGAAUUGACGGGGGCCCGCACAAGCGGUGGAGCAUGUGGUUUAAUUCGAUGCAACGCGAAGAACCUUACCUACUCUUGACAUCCAGAGAACUUUCCAGAGAUGGAUUGGUGCCUUCGGGAACUCUGAGACAGGUGCUGCAUGGCUGUCGUCAGCUCGUGUUGUGAAAUGUUGGGUUAAGUCCCGCAACGAGCGCAACCCUUAUCCUUUGUUGCCAGCGGUUCGGCCGGGAACUCAAAGGAGACUGCCAGUGAUAAACUGGAGGAAGGUGGGGAUGACGUCAAGUCAUCAUGGCCCUUACGAGUAGGGCUACACACGUGCUACAAUGGCGCAUACAAAGAGAAGCGACCUCGCGAGAGCAAGCGGACCUCAUAAAGUGCGUCGUAGUCCGGAUUGGAGUCUGCAACUCGACUCCAUGAAGUCGGAAUCGCUAGUAAUCGUAGAUCAGAAUGCUACGGUGAAUACGUUCCCGGGCCUUGUACACACCGCCCGUCACACCAUGGGAGUGGGUUGCAAAAGAAGUAGGUAGCUUAACCUUCGGGAGGGCGCUUACCA